rnacentral:tRNA from 1 species
GAGGGUAUAGCUCAAAUGGUAGAGCGCAUGCUUAGCAUGCAUGAGGUCCUGGGUUCAAUCUCCAGUACUUCCA